CCUACGGGUGGCAGCAGUGAGGAAUAUUGGUCAAUGGACGAGAGUCUGAACCAGCCAAGUCGCGUGAAGGAUGACUGCCCUAUGGGUUGUAAACUUCUUUUAUCAGGGAAUAAAGUGUUCCACGUGUUCGCUUUUGUAUGUACCAUAUGAAUAAGGAUCGGCUAACUCCGUGCCAGCAGCCGCGGUAAUACGGAGGGUCCGAGCGUUAUCCGGAUUUAUUGGGUUUAAAGGGUGCGUAGGUGGAUUGUUAAGUCAGUUGUGAAAGUUUGGGGCUCAACCCGAAAAUUGCAGUUGAAACUGGCAGUCUUGAGUAGAGUAGAGGUAGGCGGAAUGCGCGGUGUAGCGGUGAAAUGCUUAGAUAUCACGAAGAACUCCGAUUGCGAAGGCAGUUCACUGGACUGCAACUGACACUGAGGCUCGAAAGUGUGGGUAUCAAACAGGAUUAGAUACCCGAGUAGUC
rnacentral:rRNA from 1 species